rnacentral:lncRNA from 1 species
GGUCAAAAUGCCCACCCCAGCCUCACAGAACUGCCCUUCCCUUGGCUGCUGAGAUGGAUCCUCCUUCUUAUCCUGGGGGUAGAAGGGGCCACAGAGGUCCUGCCACGGGGUCCUGCAGAAAAAUCAGUCUGAGAGUUGCUCCUUGAACUUGAGCAUUCAUUUCUUCAAUAUGGGUGCGGCUUCGUUUCCCAGAACCAGCACAAGAUGGGGACCCAAGGCUGGUGAGGAGGUGGAAGAAAGUGGUUCCUUUUGGAUGGGAAAUGGCAAAGUUCCUUCCAGUGAACCAAACAAACCAGAGGAGUGGAUGGUGGGGCAAAUAGGAAUCAAGCUUGACUGUGGAAUUUCCUCAUUUUCCCCCACCAAAGAGCAAAAUGCUCCACAGAUGGUUCUUUUAUCUAUUACUACAUAACUGACAAAGCAGAUCUUCAAGCAAGCAGGCGGUCGGAAUUCUCUGGGAGAAUAGAUUCCAAAGUGCAAGUUUGGAUUCUGCAGUUCACCUAUUCGACUUUGAACAGGGACCUUCUCUGUGUCUUGAUCUCUCCAUCUGCUAAAUGGGAAUAAAUAAUCUUUGCUCUAUCCCA